rnacentral:rRNA from 1 species
AUUGAACGCUGGCGGCAUGCCUUACACAUGCAAGUCGAACGGCAGCACGGGAGCAAUCCUGGUGGCGAGUGGCGAACGGGUGAGUAAUAUAUCGGAACGUGCCCAGUCGUGGGGAUAACGUAGCGAAAGCUACGCUAAUACCGCAUACGAUCUAUGGAUGAAAGCGGGGGAUCGCAAGACCUCGCGCGAUUGGAGCGGCCGAUAUCAGAUUAGGUAGUUGGUGAGGUAAAGGCUCACCAAGCCGACGAUCUGUAGCUGGUCUGAGAGGACGACCAGCCACACUGGGACUGAGACACGGCCCAGACUCCUACGGGAGGCAGCAGUGGGGAAUUUUGGACAAUGGGCGCAAGCCUGAUCCAGCAAUGCCGCGUGCAGGAUGAAGGCCUUC